rnacentral:rRNA from 1 species
GACGAACGCUGGCGGCGUGCUUAACACAUGCAAGUCGAACGAAGUGGCGAACGGGUGAGUAACGCGUAAUCAACCUGCCCUUCAGAGGGGGACAACAGUUGGAAACGACUGCUAAUACCGCAUACUGAAGGAGGGGAUUGCGUCUGAUUAGCUGGUUGGAGGGGUAACGGCCCACCAAGGCGAUGAUCAGUAGCCGGUAUGAUAGGAUGACCGGCCACAUUGGGACGGAGACACGGCCCAGACUCCUACGGGAGGAAGCAGUGGGGAAUCUUACGAAAUGGACGAAAGUCUGACGGAGCAACGCCGCGUGAGUGAUGAGGGCCUUCGGGUUGUAAAGCUCUGUUAAUCGGGACGCGGUACCGGAAUAGAAAGCCACGGCUAACUACGUGCCAGCCACCGCGGUAAUAC